GGAAGACGCUGCGCUGGGGCACCAGCACCAGGUCCACGUCGCAGAGGUCAGGCUGGAAGAGGCGCUGCUCAUUCAGGCGGCCCAUCAAGCAGGCGAAGUGCAAUGCCACGUCCUCCACCAGCGAGAACUCGGCCGCCGAUCCCAGUCUGGCCAGACUCUUGACCAUGGAGACCAUCUUCCUCAAGUUCUCCCACGCCUCCUGCCUCCCAGCCAAGAAGCCAACCAUCUGCCCCUCUGUCUCAGGACUGCUAGCCUGUCCAGGCCUGGCCAAUCUAACAGGGAUAUGGUGCCAAGUCCCUCCCAUCUCCCUCCUCUGACUCAUCCUGAUUCAUCUUCUGGGACCAAACCCUACUGCACGGAUGGGGAAACCGAGGCUCAGAAUGGAAGGAUCCCACAGAUCCCCAGGACUUCCAACUCCUUGCUGAGGCCACCCCUUCCCUGCUGGACUGGACGCCACUCCAUGUGGAUGGAUUUCUCGGCUUGCAAUGACUUAAAGAGCAGUAAGAGGCUUCUGGGGAACCUCAGACUCAGGGGACCAGCUGUGCUUCCCUAGACCCCACCACUACCCUCUGCAACCUGUGGCCUCCUCCCCAGAGCUGCCACCACUUGCAGCUGCGCCACAGAGGCGGGGUCGGAGUAGGAGGCGGCCCUGAAAUGGGGAAGCUGGGCGCGCCCACUCCCCAACUAGCUGCAGAAAUGCUUCCACCUGCUCCCCUGAGCGACCCCAGCUGAGAGACCGAACCCCCGUACCCCAGCCGCGCUCACCACCCCCACCCUCUGGCCUGAGCUGCUUUGAUCUGAGGGGCAGGGGCCCAGGGCAGGAGAUGCAAGAACCCGACCCCAGCUGCAGCGACCAAGCCUUUAACGGUGGCCGGCCCAGCACUAGGGAAACGCAAGAUGAGAGGAGUGGGGGCCAGAGGCCCAGGCCCCACUGUGCCCCUCAGCCGUGUGACCUGACCACUGCUGAGUAGCCUCCCUGCUCAGUCUCUGCUGGCCUGCGGAAUGCUGCUCUGGCACGGACACCAGUGGGGGCAGGGGGCUAGCUGUGCUGGCAGGAGGCUGCAAAGGAACGCUGCCAGGCUGAGCAGGCGGCAGGGUGGGGACCGCAGGGCGCUGGCCUGGCAGGGCCCAGGUGGCGGCUGGGCCACCAGGGUGGAGAGGGGGCCUCUGUGGGCCUCUCGUGUGGCCCAUGUCAUCAUUCAGGGGCCUUUCUGUGCCCUCGCCCCACCCCAAGCUGGCUGCUGCCCCGUUUGGGUCACUGUGAUACUGCCCCUGUCCUGGCAAUACCCACACCCCUCACACAUGUGCCCUUGUGCUUACACAGCAGCCCCUGCCCAGCUGUCGCAGUAUCCCCUGGGUUUGCCAUCUUCCCCGUGAGUGGGCAGGGUCUCUGGGGCCUGCUCAGAUUGACUUGGUUCUGGGUGCCGGGAGAGGGAAUGGAACAGAGGCAAAGAUCCCAGGGCGACACCGUCAACAAGUCUGAUGGUCUUUUGCAAGACCUCCUGCAAGGGCCUCCUGACGCUGGGGCCAGGGAGAAGACAUCUCAGGGGCAAAGAUGGGGGCGACCAAAGAGUGCCAAGAGGAAGGGGAGGAAUGCACAUAGCUAGAUGCAGCGUGGGAGAGACCCCAAGUGAAUAAAGACACGGGAGGAGAGGUGGGGGCACAGCUGGGGACGUGCCUCCAGAGGCGGCCACUGCAGACACCCUGCGUUUCUGUGGCCAUGGUGGGUGCACAGCCAGCUAGCUCAGCUCCCAGAGGCUUCAGGCUGAGGCCAGGCCAGAGCCGGCCAGCAUGUGGGACCAGCUGGUCACCUCAGGGCUGCUUUCUGCCUCUUCCUCGGUUCCAACCCGCUUCCUCAUCUGAUUCAGUGGGUCCUUGCACUGACCUGGGAGGGGGCAAGGGAUGGAUUGUGUACCCAUUGCUUGGAUUAGGACAGUGAGGCCCAGAGGAGUACAGAUAAUGCAUCCAGGCACCAGUGUCAGGAGCCAGGGAAAGGGGAGGCUGGGAGAGUGUGGCCUCCCCUCGGGCUGGGAGGAUCCUGGCAGAGAGGACUACACGAGACACCCUCAUGGGUCCACUGUCUGCCAAAGCUUGGCAAGGGGUGUGGCCAGCCUAAGUAACGAAGGUGGGGCCCCUGGCCCCUUUGGGAUUGGCUUUGGCUGUGGCGGUCAAGCCAAGGAGGGGCUGGAGUUGGGGUGAGAAGAGAAGGAAUGGGGGCUCAGGCUCCCUGAAGACCACAGCUGUUUCCCCCUUGCUUCUCUGGCCUACAGCCCAUCUACUGGGGGAGCCCGAGGACGCAGCCAGCUUUGGGAGAGGCUACUGGCACUUGGGUCACAUGAGACUGCAGCAAGGGGCUGUUUGAAGAGCCCGGUAUGGUGGGCUCAAAUGGGGCCACCCAAACUGUGCGAGGGCAGUCCCCAAGCUUGGCUGGGGACACCAGGCCCACCUCUUCUGAUCCUGGAGAGAACAAACAGCCCAGAGGUGGUUGGGGGGAUGUGUGCACGCACACUUGCACAGCACAGGACUCAGCCUCCCUGGGGUGCAGGAGGCUGUGUAGCUGCCGUAGCUGGGAUGGGGAAGGACAAGAGUGGACAGUGUCAGAAAACCGAAGGGGAUAACACAGCGUGAAGUCGGUGGGACGGAAAGGGAUGUUCGCGCUACCCACCAGAGGCUGACCCAGGGCCCUACAGGGACGGGAGCACAGAGCUCCGAGUGUGGAGUCGGGGGGGGGUGUUGCCCCUGUGUUCUGCCUCCACUGAGCGCCACACUAAUAGGCUACAGCUGCCGGGGUGGGGGCCUAAUUCAAACCAGCAGGUUGCCUCGUUCCCUCCUGCUGUGUAAACGUCAUGGCCUUGGCAUGCCUCACCAGUAGCUUCCAGGAUCCUCUCCCUCCCUGUCGGUUCAAGGGACUGUGGGCUUCUCAUUGGUGACUUGAGCCUGGCCCUCCACAUGAAACCUGUGGGCUCCUACCCUCCUCCUGGAGGCGAUCCCAGGGCCCGCGUCCCUGGGCCUUUGAUGUAUGCUUGGCUCUAAGCAUUUAAUUCUCCCUACUUCCCAAGGGGGAGGCCUUGGUAUCCCAGAUUUUCAGAUGAGGAGCUGAAUUAUAAAGGUCAAGCAAUCUAACUAGUUAGUUAACAAACUAGAGAGUGGCAGAGCGGAACUUGAACCCAGAAAGUCUGGUUCUGGUCCAGACCCCUUACGGACUAUACCACAGACUCGUUGCUCACAGAGGUCCUUUAUCUCUUCAAAAUAAAAUCAAACUAGGCUGGAGGCAUUGACAUUAGUGGGGUCUUUGGCAGCCUUUCUCUGGGAAUCUGGCCUGCUGGUAGAGAAGUUAGUUGCAGGAGGACCCGGGUAACCUGGGGCUGGGGGAGUGGCAGCCCAGGCCUCCAUUCCCUGUAGGCCCUCUGGGAGGCCGACUCCUCUCCAGACGGGUCUGGGAAAAGGAUGGGCACCACGGAUUCCCAUGCCCAGUUGUGCCAGUUGCGCACACCUUCUUUUAGGGCUUAUGAGCCGAGGAAUGGGCAAUCCACGUCUUCUUGGUGCAGAUGAGCCGUCAGAGGCCCAGGAACAGACAGGAUGCGGGCGUCUCUCCUGCGGCCUGAGGUCACUUUCUUUACCUUGACUUCCUCAGGGCUCUAUGCAGGUUCAGACACAACAGUCCUCAGGCUGGCCUGGGUCCUGGGGCCGGGCUCUGAAACUCAGUUCAGCCUGCAGAGCUGUGAACGGUGGGCCCAGGGUCUCGAAGGGGCAGAAGUACUUGGCCUGGAGCUCGGCACAGCCCCACCCCGACCUUUUGAUUCACAGGGAGGAGAAGAGAAAGGGGCAAGGGCACUGCCUCUGCCCUCUACUGAAACCUUUAAAGAAAACAGACCGUUAAAGCCCCCUGCCCCUUUGUGUGUGUGUUGUGGCAGUGUGCUCCCCUGGCCUCACACACACACAGCAUCAGGCACUGACUGGAGCUGCCCGGAGUGGGCCCUGAAGACGAGCAGGUGCCCUGUUCUUCCAGGGUACCCCCUCUCUACCCCUGUCCUCAAAGGACUUCUCCCUGCCCGGCAGGAUUCCUCUCAGCUUGCUUCCCAGCUCAACCCCUCACAAGUGCUGCAUGGGACUUCUCUGUAGAAACCAGCCGAGUCCAGGCUCUUCUAGCAUGUGAGGCAUGGCUUCCGGGCCUCACCUAGUCAGCUAGUUUGCGUCACCUACGUGGCAGGUGUCUCUCUACACGGACUACAGUUUCCUUUCCCUUCCCAACAGUGGUGUCCAGCCAGUUUUCACUUGUGAUAGGGGCAUUUUUCUUGAAUUCUCUUACCUCCUAUUUAAUGCCCGGCUAAUUCAGAACAGUCAAGGCCAAAAUCCUUGACACGUUUCCCCCCAGUGCUGCCCAGCUGAUCAAAAUGAUCACUAUGAGAAUGUGAACACAAUGCUGGAGCUCACUAAAAAAGAACCUCACUUGGGGAUUUCCCUACAGUAAAAAGACUCUGAAGUUUUCUUUAAAUUUUAAUGCAUCCAGAUUGGACUAUUGUCAGGGAUUGCCUGACUUGGGGGUCUACUGUUAAUUCUGAAAACUGAAUCUCUGCCAAGUCUUACUGUGAGAAGUUAUGAGGUAUUCACUAAGAAAAUACAAAUUCCCCUGAGUCCCGAGGAGAAAAAAGUUAAUUGUACUUGCCCUGCAAAUUCUCAUGUGGACACUAAAAAUAUCACCAUGAAUGUUUUCUCUAAGAGCCAGUGCUCUGUGCCUAGUGAACUGGUAGAGGGAAGUGUGGAGGCCGUGGGUGGUUUAGUAGGUAAAUGUUCUGUCCCCAAGGCAGCAACUCCCAGAGAAGAUGGGACAUACUCCUUCCUCAGCAAAGACCUCUGUAUGCAGGUCACCUCGGCUGAAUGACAACAACGGAGCCUGGAGGAAACCUGGAGUUUGCAGGGCAAGAGAGACCAAGCACCAUCACUGAGCAGGUGCACCAUCUGGGCAGGUGAACAUCUCUGCCUGCAGUGCCUCUCCGGCCCCACCUCACGCCCCGCCAAUACUCAGCCGCCAGAUGGAAACGGGCAGCAGAGACGAAGUCUCUUCGCCGCCUGGCUCAGCAAAGAGACCCAACAUUUUCUUUUCCAUUUCGGAAAGAUUACUGGAAGUCUGGACGAGUAAAGAGAGAUGAAACAGG